UACGUAGGGUGCGAGCGUUAAUCGGAAUUACUGGGCGUAAAGCGUGCGCAGGCGGUUUUGUAAGCCAGAUGUGAAAUCCCCGGGCUCAACCUGGGAAUUGCGAUGGAGACUGCAAGGCUAGAAUCUGGCAAAGGGGGGUAGAAUUCCACGUGUAGCAGUGAAAUGCGUAGAGAUGUGGAGGAACACCGAUGGCGAAGGCAGCCCCCUGGGUCAAGAUUGACGCUCAUGCACGAAAGCGUGGGGAGCAAACAGG
rnacentral:rRNA from 1 species